rnacentral:rRNA from 1 species
GGGGCCACGGGGGCCUACGGGAGGCCAGCAGUGGGAAUCUUAGACAAUGGCGCAAGCCUGAUCUAGCCAUGCCGCGUGAGUGAUGAAGGCCUUAGGGUCGUAAAGCUCUUUCGCCNGNGAUGAUAAUGACAGUAUCNGGUAAAGAAACCCCGGCUAACUCCGUGCCAGCAGCCGCGGUAAUACGGAGGGGGUUAGCGUUGUUCGGAAUUACUGGGCGUAAAGCGCNCGUAGGCGGACNNGUAAGUNNGNGGUGAAAUCCCGGGGCUCAACCUNGGAACUGCCUCCGAUACUNNCAGUCUAGAGUUCGAGAGAGGUGAGUGGAAUUCCGAGUGUAGAGGUGAAAUUCGUAGAUAUUNGGAGGAACACCAGUGGCGAAGGCGGCUCACUGGCUCGAUACUGACGCUGAGGUGCGAAAGUGUGGGGAGCAAACAGGAUUAGAUACCCUGGUAGUCCACACCGUAAACGAUGAAUGCCAGUCGUCGGCUAGUAUACUAUUCGGUGACACACCUAACGGAUUAAGCAUUCCGCCUGGGG